GGAUACUGUGAGGUGCCUACCUUCAGACUAAUGCAUUUAUGCAUCAGCCGACGAGCCAGAUCGAUACUGAGAGUAAUUUCGCGAAAUAUUGAGAAAAGCCACACAUCUGUAAUGUGUGCAGCAAAGGCUUUAGCACGUCCAGCUCGUUGAACACGCACCGCAGGAUACACACUGGUGAAAAGCCUCACAAGUGUCCGGAAUGUGGAAAAUGUUUUACAGCCAGUUCCAACCUUUACUAUCAUCGCAUGACGCACACCAAGGUAAGCUCUUUGUAGUAAGCAGGGAGUCAUGGGGUGUGGUCCGUGGACCGAACAGAGUCCAACUGUGCAUAGUUCUGCAGCUGAUGUCGAUACAGACUCUAAUCAUUUAAAUUAAACCAUACUGGAUGGCACAUUUGCUUGAAGAGAAAAUCAUUAUUUUAAAGUUUUUUUUUAUUACCUACUUAAAUGGGUGGAUGACUUUAUCGCCCACCUGGUGUUAAGUGGUUACCGGAGCCCACAGACAUCCACAACGCAAAUGCCGCCACCCAUCUUGAGACAUGACUUCCAAGGUUUCAGUAGUUACGACGGCUGGCCCGCCCUUCAAACCGAAACGCAUUACUGCUUCACGACAGAAAUAGGCGGAGUGGUGGUACCUACCCGCGCGGACUCACAAGACGUCCUACCACCAGUAAUUACGCAAAUUAUAAUUUUGCGCAUUUGAUUUAAAUUACACGAUAUUAUACCUUCAACAUUUGUCAAGUACGUAUUUCAUUACAAAAGUUGGCACCCGCUUGCGGGAUUCGAACAUCAGGGCAUCGCUUGGUACGAGUACACCGGGCGAUCCUUUAGGCCUCAAUUAUUACUUAUUUAUGACCGUUAUACAAGUGUGUGUGUGUGUUUUUUUUUAUUGUCCUGGUAGGCAGACGAGGAUACGGCCCACCCGAUGGUGAGUGGUUACCGUCGCCCAUGGACUUCAGCAAUGCCAGGGGCAGAGCCAAUCUGCUGCCUACCGUUAAGUACUCUCCACAAG